rnacentral:rRNA from 1 species
CAUUACAGAUUGGGGUCUUCCUGGCCCAACCUCCAACCCCAUGUGUACCUAUCUUUGUUGCUUUGGCGGGCCCGCUUGGGGUGACUCACCGGUGGCCUUGGCUGCCGAGCGCCCGCCAGAGACCCAUCAAACCCUGUUAACUGUGACGUCUGAGUACCAACACAAUCGUUAAAACUUUCAACAACGGAUCUCUUGGUUCUGGCAUCGAUGAAGAACGCAGCGAAAUGCGAUAAGUAAUGUGAAUUGCAGAAUUCAGUGAAUCAUCGAAUCUUUGAACGCACAUUGCGCCCUUCGGUAUUCCGGAGGGCAUGCCUGUUCGAGCGUCAUUACACCACUCAAGCCUGGCUUGGUGUUGGGCCCUCAUCCUCCAUGGAUGUGCCCGGAACUUAACGGCGGCGCAGCUCGGCUUCAAGCAGUAUUAGUUUAUGUUUCGCUUUGGAAGCCCGGGCCUGGGCCUGCCGGACAA